rnacentral:rRNA from 1 species
UACGGGGGGGGCAAGCGUUGUCCGGAAUCAUUGGGCGUAAAGCGCGCGUAGGCGGCCAGAUAAGUCCGGUGUGAAAGUCACAGGCUCAACCUGUGAAUGCCGCUGGAAACUGUCUGGCUAGAGUCCGGAAGGGGCGAGUGGAAUUCCUGGUGUAGCGGUGAAAUGCGCAGAUAUCAGGAGGAACACCAAUGGCGAAGGCAGCUCGCUGGAACGGUACUGACGCUGAGGCGCGAAAGCGUGGGGAGCGAACAGG